UACGUAGGGGGCAAGCGUUGUCCGGAUUUAUUGGGCGUAAAGAGCGUGUAGGCGGCCUGACAGGUCUGCUGUGAAAACUCGAGGCUCAACCUCGAGAUGUCGGCGGAAACCGUCUGGCUAGAGUCCGGAAGAAGGAGAGUGGAAUUCCUGGUGUAGCGGUGAAAUGCGCAGAUAUCGGGAAGAACACCUAUGGCGAAGGCAGCUCUCUGGGACGGUACUGACGCUGAGGAGCGAAAGCGUGGGGAGCAAACAGG
rnacentral:rRNA from 1 species